AGCGCAUUCCUCUGUAGGCGCGGCUGGCUCUCUUCUGCCCGGUGUGUUGUUCACAUUGGAAACCCGGCAUCAGCGGAGGGAAUGACGGCAGCCGUUCGCUGGUAGCCUCAGGUGGAGAGGGGAACUAGUUUGCGGGGGAACAAGGUGAGCCAUGGAUAACUUAAAGGAGUCAGAGCCUGUACCUGUACCCUCUCCAGGAAGUCUGACGCUCUGAUUGAAGGUGGAUUUCAUAAGUUUUCCUCAUGGCUGGCUGCUGUGGCUGGAUCUACCGCACCUGUGCGUGCUGUCUGUCAGAGGAGGAGAAGACAGCAAUCGCUGUGGACAAAGAAAUCCAGAGGAUCCUCAGGCAGCAGAAGAAGAAG